rnacentral:rRNA from 1 species
UACAGAGGUCUCAAGCGUUGUUCGGAUUCAUUGGGCGUAAAGGGUGCGUAGGCGGCGCGGUAAGUCGGGUGUGAAAUCUCGGAGCUUAACUCCGAAACUGCAUUCGAUACUGCCGUGCUUGAGGACUGGAGAGGAGACUGGAAUUUACGGUGUAGCGGUGAAAUGCGCAGAUAUCAGGAGGAACACCGGUGGCGAAGGCGGGUCUCUGGGUAGUAACUGACGCUGAGGAACGAAAGCGUGGGUAGCGAACAGG